UACGUAGGGUGCGAGCGUUAAUCGGAAUUACUGGGCGUAAAGCGUGCGCAGGCGGUUAUUUAAGUCAGGUGUGAAAGCCCUGGGCUUAACCUAGGAAUGGCGCUUGAGACUGGAUAGCUUGGAGUGUGGCAGAGGGAGGUGGAAUUCCACGUGUAGCAGUGAAAUGCGUAGAGAUGUGGAGGAACACCGAUGGCGAAGGCAGCCUCCUGGGCCAGUUCUGACGCUGAGGAGCGAAAGCGUGGGGAGCGAACAGG
rnacentral:rRNA from 1 species